AACGAACGCUGGCGGCAUGCCUAACACAUGCAAGUCGAACGAGACCUUCGGGUCUAGUGGCGAACGGGUGCGUAACGCGUGGGAACCUGCCCUUAGGUUCGGAAUAACUCCCCGAAAGGGGUGCUAAUACCGGAUAAUGUCUUCGGACCAAAGAUUUAUCGCCUUUGGAUGGGCCCGCGUUGGAUUAGCUAGUUGGUAGGGUAAAAGCCUACCAAGGCGACGAUCCAUAGCUGGUCUGAGAGGAUGAUCAGCCACACUGGGACUGAGACACGGCCCAGACUCCUACGGGAAGCAGCAGUGGGGAAUAUUGGACAAUGGGCGAAAGCCUGAUCCAGCAAUGCCGCGUGAGUGAUGAAGGCCCUAGGGUUGUAAAGCUCUUUUACCCGGGAUGAUAAUGACAGUACCGGGAGAAUAAGCUCCGGCUAACUCCGUG
rnacentral:rRNA from 1 species